rnacentral:lncRNA from 1 species
GUCUCAUAAAAACCUUUAAACUUGUUUUCCUUACCUCAGCUUGACCUAUGCAUGAAAACAUAGAACCUCAUACCAAAAGGGUCAUCAAGCUUGCUUUAAAACAUAUCCGCUUUGGGUCAAGGGAUUGGAACCCUUUCUUCCCUCACGGGCCAUUCAAAACUCAUAACAUUUAAAACAUUUUCUCAAGAUCAUGCAUAACAAAAGGGAUUAACCAACACUCAAGGCAAAGCACAAUUCUAAACAUCUCAUGCUACAACACAUGGNNN